GGGCCCGUAGUCUAGCGGCUAUGACGUCACCUUCACACGGUGAAGGUCACCAGUUCGAAUCUGGUCGGGCCCACCA
rnacentral:tRNA from 1 species